UACGAAGGGGGGCUAGCGUUGUUCGGAAUUACUGGGCGUAAAGGGCUUGUAGGCGGCCAACUAAGUCAUACGUGAAAUCCCUCGGCUUAACCGGGGAACUGCGUCUGAUACUGGAUGGCUUGAGAUUGGGAGAGGGAUGCGGAAUUCCUGGUGUAGCGGUGAAAUGCGCAGAUAUCAGGAGGAACACCGAUGGCGAAGGCAGGUCUCUGGGCAUUAACUGACGCUGAGGAGCGAAAGCAUGGGGAGCGAACAGG
rnacentral:rRNA from 1 species